AUUGAACGCUGGCGGCAUGCCUUACACAUGCAAGUCGAACGGCAGCACGGACUUCGGUCUGGUGGCGAGUGGCGAACGGGUGAGUAAUAUAUCGGAACAUACCCUAGAGUGGGGGAUAACGUAGCGAAAGUUACGCUAAUACCGCAUACGAACUAAGGUUGAAAGCGGGGGGAUCUUCGGACCUCGUGCUCAUGGAGUGGCCGAUAUCUGAUUAGCUAGUUGGUGAGGUAAAGGCUCACCAAGGCGACGAUCAGUAGCUGGUUUGAGAGAACGACCAGCCACACUGGAACUGAGACACGGUCCAGACUCCUACGGGAGGCAGCAGUGGGGAAUUUUGGACAAUGGGCGCGAGCCUGAUCCAGCAAUGCCGCGUGAGUGAAGAAGGCCUCGGUUGUAAGCUCUUUGUCUAGGGAAGAACGGUAGAGUCCUAAUAUAGCUUGCUAAUGACGGUACC
rnacentral:rRNA from 1 species